UGUGCUGCAUAUCUAUGUUAGUGGUGCCAGUUAUGCUACCCUCAUCGGAUGUUUGCUUGGAGGAUUCUUUGGGGUCCUUUUGAUUUCCGGCCUAAUUUUUCUCAUUCUGUCAAGAUCCGUGACUCUUCGGAACUGCCUCGGUGCGGAUGACACCGAAGACGACCUGGACACAAUUGUAAAAGGGUAAAAGGGUGAAAGACAAAGUAAUGAAGUCUAAGAAAUCUGUCUAACUUUUAUUUCUAAGUCCAGUUUAACUGGGUUGAUGGCAAGGCUAAUCAUGUUAUCCAAAUGAUACUGGCUUUUUUCUGACAGCUUCACAUCUUUCUUCUACAGUCAGCCAUUGGAUGAUGGACAUAUUGGUUCUUUGCCAAAAUAUGCUUUUCAGCUUAUAUGACAUUUUCCUUAAUGGUAACUUCCCACUUGCCAACAACCCAAAUUUUUACAAAUGAAUCGCACUUCCAAACACUUCCAACCCCAA